UACAGAGGGUGCGAGCGUCAAUCGGAAUUACUGGGCGUAAAGGGUGCGUAGGUGGCUACGUAAGUUAGGUGUGAAAUUCCUGGGCUCAACCUGGGAACUGCGCCUGAUACUGCGUGACUAGAGUACUGUAGAGGAAGGUGGAAUUUCCAGUGUAGCGGUGAAAUGCGUAGAUAUUGGAAGGAACAUCGGUGGCGAAGGCGACCUUCUGGACAGAUACUGACACUGAGGCACGAAAGCAUGGGGAGCAAACAG
rnacentral:rRNA from 1 species